UGCAACCUCCGCCUCCUGGGCUCAAGUGAUUCUCGUGCCUCAGCCUCCUGAGUAGCUGGGACUACAGGUCAUAGAAUUUUCCACACUCCUUGACGGAGGUUCUUAACCCUUAUCCAUCAGCAUUCUCAGACAGCACCUCCGGUUAGGGACAGUAUCUGACCGUCCGACAUCCCUGCAGCCCCCAUGCUGUCACACAGACUCAGCCUCAGGUAGAUGGUUUCCGUAGAUGGUGGCUUUCUUUGGACCCUUGAUAUCAACCAGUUACUAUUUG
rnacentral:antisense_RNA from 1 species